UUUAGCUUAAAAAAAUCUUUAUAUUAUUUCAAUGAAACAUUGUAACAUACUAUAGAAUCACAUUUUUCUAUAGAUAAAAUAAAAAAUACCAUAUAGACAUGAAAUAUUAAGUUUGUUUCCUUAAUACUGUGUACAAGUUCACAUUUCACAGAGAAAAGCCAUGAAGCAAAGAGAACUCUGCCUUGGCUUAUAGAUCACGGCGUUUUGUCCUUGUUCUGUUACUGUCACUGGCAAGCGUUUUUGCGCAUGUCAAGUUUCUAUUUUACUAUUAAGAAAAAAACAGCUAAAGGGCACUGUGACAACUGCACAUGGUUAAACGUAGGCAGUUAGCAUAGGAUACAGGACAGAGUGUGAUCACAACAUUGGGGCAACAAAUUUGUGAUAAGUCUAUUUGAACAUUUAACUCAAUACCAUAUUAUGACAGCUCAAGUGCCGAGGAUUCCUAAUUUUUAUUUUGCUGAGCAACAGCAGACCCCUGCCCACCCAUGUCCUAACAUUUCAUGAAACAUUUCAAUUGAUACAUACUACAAAAAUACAGUAUUUCCCUAUGUCUUAGAUAUGUCUCAGAACCUCCCCCACCUCUCGUUUUCAUUCCUGGCUGAUUAUGCAUUAACAUAUUUAGCCCUGUAUGUUAGAAGCAUACAGUAUGAGAGACAUCUAGGCUUGACCUAAGUAGUUUGACUAGUAAAAGUCUGAGACUAAUCACAAAUGUGCCAUACUAAAAAUUUUGGUACUAUAGCAUAGGAUAUGGAUCUAGAUUCUAGAACAUUAAAAAAUCUUUACAAGAACUGACUCAACAUGAUCUUACCAACAAUCACAAAAGUUGUAUUUUGACAUUAAAAGCUAUGAUUCACAUGACUGAGAAAAUUGCAAUGCAGUGAAAAACAAUGCCCCCCAGGAAGCACUGCUUUACAGACUAGAGAAAAUGGCUUCUGAUUCUAUAGUUCACAUACUAAACUGUAGACCUACAGUUUACUUACUGAUACAUUGAAAGCUUUAAGAAAAAAAAAGAAGCUGAAACGAUUUACCAAGGUCUAGAAUAUACUUAGUCUUUUAAGACCUACAGUGUACUGAUACAUUGAAAGCUUUAAAAAAAAUAGCUGAACAAAUUUAUUACCAAGGUCUAAAAUAUAUUUUUCAAUUAAAGUCCUAAAUAAAUGUCAUCAGCCUUAAUGCUUACAAAUAUUUCAUUAUUUGUUUUCAAUAUUCACUUAAAAACAAACAGCCCAAAUUCAUACAAUUACUUCCUGAAUAAUGCAUUCUUAAAAUGGUCUUUAGCAAAGUAGAGCUAAGGUGACAACAGAAGUGUGUUGACUUCUUUAUUAGACUGUAUUGUAAAAAGUGUACAUGUCAUAUAGAGCGGCAAUUAAAAUGUAAACAUUGUCAUAGAGAAGUAUACAACAACAAAUGUUUCUAUUACUGGAGUGAAAGGAAUGUUGGUCAUGAAUGAACAGAGACUUUGGGAGUGGCACAAUUCUUUGGCAUUGGAGACAUGCAGAAAAAAAUCACAUACAAGAACAUAAAUUACAUCAGCUUUUUGUUAACUGUUUAAAACAAAAUAAAUAACCUUUCAAUUAUUCAGACACAGAUGUAUCAGCAAUACAAAUGGAAAACAUUUUUUUUAAAGUAUGACAAGGCACGGAUAAAACAAAAUGGGAGUGUGGCUGGCAAAUUACUUUCAAAUAAAAAAUAAACCUUGUACAAUUGAAUUGACUUCAUAAACUUGUGUAGAGAAUCAAGGAUUGAAAUAUUUUGGUAAUGCUGGUCUAUGGAUCACUGAUCACAAUGUUCUUAUUGAAAAUACAAAAGCUUCACAAGACAGAUUAAUAAGCAGUGAAGUGGCAGGGAAAAAAAAAAGGGGGGGGGGGGG